GGCUGCCCCACGGGCCUCUCCCCUGGCCCAUGGUGUCCAGGCCAGCCUGGGUCACGGCACGGAGCCCAGCAGCCCUGGUGGGGACGUGCCACCCCAGGCAGUGUCCCCGACCCUCUGCUCAGACCUGAAGCACCGAGGCCCAAGCGCCAGUCCAUCCCUGUCCCAGAGUCUCCUGCUGCCCCCAGGCCACCUCCAACAGCAGCUCGAGGGCUCCCUCACAGGAUAAAAGAUGGCUGGGGACGGCCUCCGAGAGGCCAAGAGAGGCAGAGGUGAGGGCGCACUGCCCAGCCUGAGAGCCUGGGGCCGUCGCAUUCUGGGUCCCUCCCAGCCCUCCCCGGGGCGCAGCCCUGCGCUUCGGCCUUGCCAGUGACCUUGGUAAUGGCUGCGUGACUCCACCUGCAGAUGAGUCACCCUUGGCUUACCCAGCCCCCCCGCCCGCGCUUGUCCUGUGGGUCCGUGUCCCCAGCGAACAGAUCCGCAGGGCGGAAGAGUUAGUCCAAGAUACGCGCCUGUGUCAUCUGGGGACAUGGUCCCCAACGGGCCAGUCGACACUCCCAGCCGCUAGGAGGGCACCACUUCCCCACAGCCGCACAGUCAGCAGGUUCCCAAAAAUCACGGGUCCUGUGGUUGAGGCCACAGGGAGAAAUGGCCCCCCUGCUUGUGCUUGUUGCCCAGUACCAGUGAAACUGCCCACGGUCCGUGUCUUGCUGGCCUGGGCCUUGUCUUCAUCUAUUUUCUCUUUGGCACAGUAUGGCCGGCCUUUUUCUCAUUGGUUUGUAGGAGCUCUUUGUAUAUUAAGGAAAUUAGACUUUACCUACAGCCUGUGUUGUACAUCCAGUGUCCUCAUUCGCCGUUUAUUUGUUUACACACUUACUGACUUUGCACCUGGCAGUUGGUCUCAGGAGGGCCAGGGGCGUUUUGGCUGCUCAGACACUGUGUCCCUUCGCCCAGGUUUCCGUCCCCCACGCACACUGCCUCUAGGAGCCCACCCCAGCCAGAUCCUGGGGGAAAGCGACCUCGGGUCAGCCGCCGGUUGGCGCUGGUGUGGUCUCCGGAGCCCAGAGCCCCUGCAUCCUGGCCGUGGGGAUGGGACAGAACCCCCUCCUUCCUGUCCUUGAGGGCAAAAGGCCCUGUCCUCUGCUAAUGUCCCACUCCUGCCAUGUAUCUCCUGGCUGUCCCAGGGGGUCCUCCCCUCACACGCAGCCCUGCCCACCUGUCCUGGCCACUCUCCCCGGCCUGCUCCAGGAGGUAGCCCUUCCCAGCCCCUCCUCCCUGUCCGCCUCAGGCCGCGGCUGACCUCGGCGCAUCCCGCAGAAUGUGUGCAGUGCUGCACGGGGUUGCGGCCAGAUGGAGGGCUGGUCCUGCACCCUUCCACCCAGACCCUGGGAAGAGGCGGGGCGGGGUCUGGGGGAGGCAGGGGCAGGCAGAGGAGGUGCCCGUGGUGGGGGCCAGGCCAGGCUGGGGAUAGAGGACCCCCCUUCAGCCGGGCUCCAGCUCUGUGUCCCUGUCUGAGCAGCAUGUGGUCACGGCCCCCAGGGCCGCACUGUCCCCGGGGGGCCUGGUAACCAGCUGGGAAGGCCCAGGGUAGCAGCCCAAGCGCAGGGCCAGGGGCCAGCUUUCCAGGGCA
ensembl:lncRNA